UACGGAGGGUGCAAGCGUUGUCCGGAAUCACUGGGCGUAAAGGGCGCGUAGGCGGCUCAUGGAAGGCUGUGGUGAAAGUCCGGGGCUCAACCUCGGAUCGGCCGUGGCGACUCGUGGGCUGGAGCACUGUAGAGGCGGGUGGAAUUCCGGGUGUAGCGGUGGAAUGCGUAGAGAUCCGGAAGAACACCGGUGGCGAAGGCGGCCUGCUGGGCAGUAGCUGACGCUGAGGCGCGACAGCGUGGGGAGCAAACAGGG
rnacentral:rRNA from 1 species